UUAUUUUCAUUUCCCUUCUCCUGUGGAGGGGGCCGAGUGGAUAAAGUGGCGGUGGAUGGGUGGGGGAAACGAACUCCACUGCUCUGCGGGAAAAGAACUGUGCGGAGGAGGUGGAGCCGGGGAACAGGAAAUGGUGGCGGCGCCAUUUUGAGUGUGGCUGAGGGGGGACAUCUCCGGGAGGACGCUUCCGGUCCAGCGACGGAACGUCCGCUUCCUCCGGAACUGCACGGAAGGAAAUCGAUGUGGAACGAACUGGAUGGGAUUUCAAUAUGGCGUUGGGGACCCGAAGCGCGCUUUCUGUGGGAGUUCCAAGUUCAGCCGAAAAGUGCAGUUUGUGGCUAGUCUUGAUGAGCUGUCUGAGUGGAUCCCCGUGGAGCAGGUGCACAUCCCGGAUUGUGUCUGCCAGCAUGGGAAGUGCAUCAAAUGCUGAACACGCCCCAGGAGUAAAACGCGAAAUAAAUGCAUCAAAACUUGGGUGUGUUUGCAUCCGUGUGAGUCCUGUUAACUUGGCGCUUUGUUUGUUACGAUGACAUUAAAGAGAGAGAGAAAAAAACAAAUCGAAACGGGAGUCUUUUUGUGCAAGUCGUUUAUUUUACCAUCUUUAGUCGACAGUGGAAAACAGACAGGGCCGGGGCAGGGGGGGGUAGGGGGGGGAAAGCAGCAGGAAAGCGGCCUCUUUCCCAGGAGUAAGGAACUCUGCCCAUGCUCAGAGGCGCCGUCCGGCGGGAGGCACCCCUGGCAGCAAGGCAGGGGCGUC